rnacentral:rRNA from 1 species
ACGAACGCUGGCGGCGUGCUUAAAACAUGCAAGUCGAACGGUGUCUCCGCAAGGGGGCACAGUGGCGAACGGCUGAGUAACACGUGAGUGACCUGUCCUUGGGUGGGGGAUAACAGCCCGAAAGGGCUGCUAAUACCGCAUGUGACCUUUGGGGUAGAGCCCAAAGGGGAAAGGUAUUUCGCCCGUGGAGGGGCUCGCGGCCCAUCAGGUAGUUGGUAGGGGUAACGGCCCACCAAGCCGAUGACGGGUAGCUGGUCUGAGAGGAUGGCCAGCCAGACUGGGACUGAGAAACGGCCCAGACUCCUACGGGAGGCAGCAGUUAGGAAUCUUGCGCAAUGGGGGAAACCCUGACGCAGCGACGCCGCGUGGGUGAAGAAGGCCUUCGGGUCGUAAAGCCCUUUUCCGAGGGACGAUAAUGACGGUACCUCGGGAAUAAGCCCCGGCUAACUACGU